CCCAGAGAAAUUCUGGGAGCUCAGAAAAGGAGUAGAGUGAAUAUCUCAACGUAUGACCCCCCCACUCACACCCCUGGAAUAAAUAAGCACACGUUUUUUCCCAUUAGAUCCACAUUUCUCGGCACUCAGCACUGCCUAAAUUUCUCACACCUCAAGCUCAAGUCGAUCUUUCUAAAAUUAAGAUCCACAGAGAGGGCCUGACCUAGAAAGGACCAGCGUCUGGGUUCCAUAGUGGAGGACUUACCAAAUAUUGACCUAAAAGCCGUGGCUCAGAACUGGGUCUGCAGCCUGAGGAAGGGCACACAUGGAGUGAGGGCAGAACAAGGAGACUCAGCCCCAGGCAAAUGGCCGGGAACCAGCAGGAGAGGCGUUAUGAGAGAGAACCCCAUCCUGAGACCCCUGCAGAGAUGGGAGACCGGACCGCAGCUAAUCCACUCUGCUUCCAGCUCAGCUAAUCCACUCUGCUUCCAGCUCGGAGCUUCUCCAUCCUAGACGGUGUGGACCACGUGAGCAGGUCUCUGAAUCGUCCCUCUACCUGAGGUGGUUAGAACCCAUUGCUAUCAGGGCGCUUCUGUUGAUUCGCAUGGAAUCAAUAUGGCUGUUUGGUGACCAGAACAUAGCAUGGGACCAGUCCUUGAAGAAGCUGAGACUUCAGUCAGGCUCUCAAAUGAUGAGAAGAAAGCAUCUGGUUGUGGUUCUAAAGCCUGGGAUCCUAGCAAGAUGAACAGGUGGUGAUUAGACUGUUUGCUCAUCUGGGAGUGUUGGAAGGUAACCCCUAGGGAGGAAAUAGUGAAAAGCAUGUAGUGGGCUCUCAGGAAUAGCUGUUGUUUCAGGCAAAAGGAGUACACCUUUAAUAUGUCAUGCAAGACUGACAGGUAAGAAGGGGGGUUUUGAUGGGAAGGAGAAAAAAGAAAAUAAUUAAGAUAUGUAUAUUAUCUUGAUUGUGGGGAUGGUAUAGGUGUUUUCAUAUGUCCACACUCCUCAAAUGGUACACAUUAGAUGUGUGCAGUUCUUUUCAUAUCAAUUGUACCUCAAUAAAGCUGUUAAAAAUAAAUAAAAUAGGGACUUCCCUGGCGGUCCAGCGGUUAAAACUCUGCGCUUCCAAUGCAGGGGACGUGGGUUCGAUCUCUGGUCGGGGAACUAAGGUCCCACAUGCCACUCGGUGCGGCCAAAUAAAUAAAUAAAAUAAAAUUAUGGAGGACAACAUGCAGGAAAUUUUAAAAAGGAAUUGGAAAAAAAAAAAGAUACAGCCUGUGACCUUAAAAAGAGAAAAUUCAGUAGGGAAGACGAGUACCCACAUGACAAAAAUGUGUUAUAAUAGGAGGGGAAAAAAAAAAAAGGGAAAAUCUAGGACUUUUGGAACCAAGAAACUGGCAUUGCUUCCUGGAGGACAGGGUGAAAAAAAUGAGAAAUGCAAGUUGUUCAAAGAAGUCCAGGUAAAUUAAGUACACGUUCAUUAGCUAUAAUCAUCACCCUGUCUGGAUCUGUCUAGAGCGUAUGGGAAACAGACAAGGUCUGUGUGAGGUUCUGCAAAUUAUGCAAUAAGCAUCCUGUGACGUGAAAUAUCUCGGUUGUCAGAGGACUGAACUGGUGCAUUUCUUUGUAUCUCUGCAGGAAGGAGCCCAGUGCAAGACGACAGAGACCAUGCCAAGCGAGGAGGGCAUUCCUGAGUGAGUGGGGUGUUGGAGCCCAAGUAGGGUGAGGCCAGCAGGCUGGUGAAGCCCAGCAGAUUGAGAAGGGCACCCACACGGGGCAGGGCAUGCCUGUUGUGGGGUAUCGGAAACUGGACUGCGGUAAGGAGGGUUCUGACGUGGGUAGACGCUCUGACACAGGGUCAGACCCAAGCAGAGUGAGAAGGAUAUUUACAAAGGAGCAAAGGUGGCCAUUGCAAUGGACAGCUGGGUACCUGCAAGGAUCCAAUAUGUAAAUCUAUGAAGGAUAACAGGAGCCAGGUUUCUCAGUAUUGGAUAAGGGGAUUGCAAAUAUGGAAAGGCAGAACACUAGAAUAAACCUUACAAUAUUGCAAUUGGAUACAGAAGUAUUUCUGUAAACUCAUGGUUUUUCCAUAUGCAUAGAUAAAUUUAGAAUUAAAGAUACAUGUAAAUGUGUGUACAUGUAUGUACAUAUAUAUAUACGUAUAUUCCCGAACUCUGUCCACUGUGAUGAUCCUAGUCACCCCCAAAGCCCAGAUGUAGUGCCCAUGUCUUAUUUUCUGAACACCAUUAUCCAAUGUUUUAUCUAUGUAUGGUGAUAGAUGGUAACUAGAAUUAUUGUGGUGAUUAUUUUGUAAUGUACAGAAAUAUUGAAUUGUUGUGUUAUGCACCAAGAAAUAAUAUAGUGUUGUAGGUCAAUUAUACUUCAAACAGGCGAACGAACAAACAAACAAACUCAUAGCAAAAGAGAGCAGAGGCAAGAGGUUGGGCAAGAGGGAAUUGGAUGAAAGUGGUCAAAAGGUACAAACUUCCAGUUAUAACAUGAACAAGUACUGGGCAUGUCAUGUACAACAUGAUGAAUAUAAUUAACAUUGCUCUGUGUUAUGUAUGAAAGUUAAGAGAGUAAAUCCUAGAAGUUCUCAUCACAAGGAAAAAGAAUUUUCUUCCAUUUUGUAUCUAUGUGAAAUGAUGGACGUUCAUUAAACUUAUUGUGAUAAUCGUUUCAUGAUGUAUGUAAAUCACAUAAGUAUGCCGUACACCUUAAACUUACACAGUGCUGUAUGUCAAUUAUAUCUCAGUAAAACUGGACGAAAAAACACACAAAAAUAAAUAAAUACCAUAAUCCACUCAAAGGAACCAGGACUUUGCAGAAACAGCUGAUACCAAGACGGAGACAGGGAAAGUACAAGAUGAGACUUGGAUGUCUUCUUGUGCCAUGAAGGAAGGAAAUACUCAAAGAAUGAUGGAGACCCUGACAGGAAGGAAGGUUUAAGAAGGGAAACAAUUUCCCUAUUUCCAUAUCUCCUUUGGAUAAUACUUGAUACACAUUGAAAAAUUAUUAUUCUAUACCUAUCCUUUAAAAUUAAAGAAAAAAAUAGUACCAAAAGCUCACCUCAUGCCAGGCAAAUUAAUUUUUAGCAUUUACAUUUCAGCCUUGUAUCCUAACUUCCAUAAAGCCGCCAGUAAAAAUACACUAACAGCAACCAUACCACAUUUGGAACACAUUUUUUAAAUGGUUAGAUUGACUCAUUACAUAUGGUCUCUUACUAUUUUCCAUUAUAUUCAUUUAUGCAUUUGUUCAUUAAAUAAGCAUGUAUUAAGUACCUGCAAAGUGUUGAGUAUAGUUAGAUGAGCUGAGGACACUGGGAGGUCCCGGCACAUCAGCCUGGUAAACGGCGGGGAGGAGUUUACCCUAACUGGCUCAUGCUGUUUCAGACUUGGACAGAGGCUCGGAGGCCAUUAUUUCAGACUCUCCCCUCAUCCAGGUUUCAUGGAUGAAGAAAUGAGAAGGUGAGAAGAUGAAAUGAUUGAGCCAUCUAAAAACCAAUUAUAUUUUAACGUUCCUAAAAUACACACUUUAAAACUCUCCAAACUAUACAUUAUCUGAAAAACCUGAUUUAUUGCUCCUAUAAGUCUAGUAGCAUUUUGAGGAUGAGAACAUUGUCUUUUUCACAAAUGCUUGUUGAGCUAAUUAAAAUAGUCUAUGUGCUCCAUGAGGGUCUGUUUUACUCCCUUCUCUAUUCCUAGUCCUUGAACAAUACCUGGCAUAUAUAGUACAUGUUCAACAAACACUUAUUGAAAAAUAUUUUAAAAAAAGAAGAAUAUGCUAAGCAAGUGUGUAUAUGGUGGUGGUAGUUGGCGAUGUUUCGCCAGCACGUGAUACGGUGCUUCAGAUGUCUCCUUGCCUGUGUAUUUCCCUGCCUUAAACGUCUCUGCUUCAUCCCUACCCAUCAUCUCUGCUCUCAGUGCUCUAUCAGGAGGACUGGGGUCCCAUGACUGAGAUGAGGUUAACGUGCCUCUUUGACCCCUAUGAGGAGCUGUGACUUUACUGAAAC